AGGGCCCGAGAUUGCGUCGACGCGGAUCCCGAAAAGGGCGUCGAUCCGUCGCGACAGCGGGACGGUGGUCAUGGAAGUCGAAAUCCGCUAAGAAGCGUGUAAAAACGUACCCGCCCAACGGAUCGGCCCCGAAAAUUGAUGGCGCUCGAACGCAACCCUCGAACCCCGCCGACGGAGGCUAGGGGGAGGCCCCGUCGAGUAGGCGGACGCGCGGGUCGCUUCGACGCUCUCGCGCGAGCGGGGGCGGAGCGGCCCGUGGUGCAGAUCUUGGUGGUAGUAGCGAUCACCCAGGCGAGAACCCCUGAGGGCCGAAGUGGAGAAGGGGUUUUCUCGAGAACGGCACUCGCUCGAGAGUUAGUCGAUCCUAAGCUGCCGGCGGCAGCCACGAAACGGUCGAUCGGGGCGCGAGCCCCGGCAGCCCACGACCGGGCAGCGAAAGGGAAUUGGGAACCUCCUUCCCAAACCCGGAACCGGAACGAGGGCGGCGACGCGAACGAAACGGCCGCGGAGACGGCGGCCGCGG
rnacentral:rRNA from 1 species